GCCUCAAUGUAACCAACAACCAAGAAGGCUGUGCUCACACUAUCUCCCGGUCUCCCGGCUUAAAAUAAUACUACUUUUACACUUCUCGGAAUCAAGGUUGAGAAAUCCAUAGGAGAUCAGUGUUUUUUUACUACUAUCAAGCCACCAUGAUUCAAAAUGGACAAAAUGGAGCUACAAUGGAAACAGUCUCGGGCGAUGGGAGAUGCGUCUGCCUGAAUAAAGCAGGAUGGGUGGCUACAGAUUUCCAUGAACUCGUCUGCUAGAAGCGAACUAUUUCGCCACAUUCAUGAUUAAUGUGUCUUUUGCGUGUAUGUCCACUUAGACGGACGAUGUCAGUUUGAUACAAGCUAAGCUGCCUGCAAGGUGAUUUCUGUAGCUAAAGCGCUGGAACCCAGCACCGGGUAGACCGUCGUGUACGACCAAUGUACCUCUUCUCUCGGCUGGAUCCUUUGCCCAAAGGCGCCGAAGAGAAAGACCCCGCACAUCUGUUGCAGGAACAGCUAUGAGAUGAAAACAUAAGAACACGACAAAUUACAUGAGUGUUAUGCAACAUUACAUUAAAUCUAUUACCAGUGAUGAAGAGGUAAUGAAGAGGCCAUGCCAAAGGAGGACUCAUCCAGUGGUCAAAUGUGUCUUUGUGAUGGCCCAGCCUUACACACAUGGGGGGGGGGGGCUUUAGAAGCUGCUGUAUAUGUGGCUUCAGCAGUGGUGUUUGAAAUGGUUGAUAAAUGAUGAUGCAAUAAAGGCAAUCCCCCAGACUGA